rfam:Picea glauca, whole genome shotgun sequence.
GCAUGCCUACAACAUAGAUUUAAUGCACCAUAUCCCAUUAGAAAUCCGUAGUUAAGUGUGCUUAGGCUAGAGUAUUAUUGGGAUGGGUGACCACCCAAGAAGUCCUAUUGUUUUACACGCC